AACGAACGCUGGCGGCAUGCCUAACACAUGCAAGUCGAACGAAGGCUUCGGCCUUAGUGGCGCACGGGUGCGUAACGCGUGGGAAGCUGCCCCUCGGUUCGGAAUAACAGUUAGAAAUGACUGCUAAUACCGGAUGAUGACUUCGGUCCAAAGAUUUAUCGCCGAGUGAUGAGCCCGCGUAAGAUUAGGUAGUUGGUGGGGUAAAGGCCUACCAAGCCGACGAUCUUUAGCUGGUCUGAGAGGAUGAUCAGCCACACUGGGACUGAGACACGGCCCAGACUCCUACGGGAGGCAGCAGUGGGGAAUAUUGGACAAUGGGCGAAAGCCUGAUCCAGCAAUGCCGCGUGAGUGAUGAAGGCCUUAGGGUUGUAAAGCUCUCUUACCAGGGAUGAUAAUGACAGUACCUGGAGAAUAAGCUCCGGCUAACUCCGUGCCAGCCGCCGCCGUAA
rnacentral:rRNA from 1 species